UACGUAGGGGGCAAGCGUUGUCCGGAAUCAUUGGGCGUAAAGAGCGUGUAGGCGGUCUGUCGCGUCUGCUGUGAAAAUCCGGGGCUCAACCCCGGACUUGCAGUGGGUACGGGCAGACUAGAGUGUGGUAGGGGAGACUGGAAUUCCUGGUGUAGCGGUGAAAUGCGCAGAUAUCAGGAGGAACACCGAUGGCGAAGGCAGGUCUCUGGGCCACUACUGACGCUGAGAAGCGAAAGCAUGGGGAGCGAACAGG
rnacentral:rRNA from 1 species